CGGCACCAGAGGUUAGGGGGCAUAGUGACCGAGGUGGCCGGGCCGGGCCCCCUCAGGCCCCCCCUGUGGCGCCGACGCUGUAAGAUAUCAAAGUCAACUAAAGG